ACUAUCUAGGGGCUAGUAUAUUUAAAGCACAGAUUGCUUCCUGAUUUGUUUUUUUUUUUUUUUUUCCCAUCCUGAAUUCCCCUCAGGGCACACUGUCCUGGGCAGCUGCAGUAGCUAAUGGCUUGAUCCUUUUAGACUGGAAUGGCAGAUUGGCCCUUGAGGUUAAGGAAGAAGGAAAUGCUCCUGUGGGUGGAGAGCUACAGGUUAUCUUUGACUACAGAUGGAGAAAGAAUGGAUUCAUCAAACCCGGAUACAAAUAGGAAUUUAUUAUACAAAAAAGAUGGCAUAUUAUCAAAUCAAUGGGGAAAAUUUGGUUUAUUUAGUGAAUAGUGCUGGAUAAACACAUACCCUUGCCUGAAACAAUCCCCUCUUUGCUAGUAGCUUCAUUGUCCUCCCCUCUUCUGCCUAUAAAACUUUUAUUUUCUGAGCUAUUCAAAGCUCCUUUCUAUCUGCUAGAUGAGAUGCUGCUGAUUCAUGAACCAGUGAAUAAAGCCAAUAAGAUCUUUAAAAUUUACUCAGUCAAAUUUUGUUUUUUUAACAAUUGUUUAAAAAACAAUUUUGUCUUUUACUGGGACUUUCUUGGUGGUUCAGUGGCUAAGACUCUGUGCUCCCAGUACAGGGGGCCCAAGUUCGAUCUCUGGUCUG
rnacentral:lncRNA from 1 species